AGAGACUUUAGGUGCUUCAAGCAAGAGGGGAGUGUAACCAAGGACUGCCACUUCACUCUCCUUCAUAUGCUUAGCCGAACUUAGGAAAGGAACUGCAGGGAUGGAAAUGAAGAGGAGCCUGAGGAAAUGAAGGUCCAAGGACAGGCCCAAAGUAGGAUCCAGCUCAAGGGGAGGCCCCAAGGCCUGACACUAUUACUGAGGCUAUGGAGCGUUCACAAAAAGGGACCCUGUCAUGGCCACACUCCAGAAGACCCAACAAGAAGCUGAAAGAGACUGGGCAUUCUAUUGGGCUCAGUGUCUCCAUCUUCUGAUGAAACCAGGAUCACAUUAUUCUUAAGAAUAUGAUAGAGGGCAAGCUUAAGCGGAAUCAGACAAGGUUCUCUGCUUUCACAUGGCACAGCUCCCAGUGUUUGGAAACAGAGCCUUUCCUAUUCCAGGCCAGGAUCUCGUCUGGCCUGCAGUUAGAGGCAUCAUACUCAGCUCACACCCUCCGGUGUGUCAAUGACCUUGAAAUACAAUGCAGAGAACGUAAGAGAUUCUUCUUGACAGUGACCAUCCUCGAUCCAGAAAGCAUACUUGGAGAAUACCAAGUCCGGGUCUUUUCAUCAACUCGAGGUCAACUCAAUUUCCAUAUCAUCUGAUGGUAUUGGAAGUGGAAAAGAAGAUCUCAUGUAGCAGUAGUUCUUGGCUCCCAGGAAAACACAAUGACAGGAAAGACAAAGGCUGUCACUACAUCUGUGCUAUUACUCCUACAUCUCACAGCUCAGUUCCCCUGUCCUUUUAACUUCUGUUUUUCAUAAAUUGUGACACCUCUGAAGUAAUGGUCAUUUGGAUUGUUUUAUUUCAUCACUAUCCACAAUCUGUAAUCUACAAAAGUCUUCAUUAUUGACAAGUGACCUUUGUUUAUCUUUAUGAAUUAAAAUCUACAAACAAAGGAGCUGUCCAGAACCCAUAGUUACAUUAGAAAAAAACACACACAAAAGAAUGGAAUUCAACUCAGAGGGAAUGGUGGCUUCACCCAGUCUCUUUUAAUGAAACUACUCCUUCGGAAAUGUGCUUGCCCUAACACAGCACUUGGCCUGCAAACAGUGGCACUAUUAAUGUAAAUUAUUCCAGUCUUGUGGUUUGAUAGAAAGAUUAAUGGUCUCGAAGCUCAAAGAUAAAUGCUGUGCUUGUGUAAUGAGGUCAACAAUCACCAAAGGCCACUGGAGGCCUCUGACAGGGAAAAACCAGUGGUUAAGAUCUGUAUGUUGUUAGCUCAUCUGGGUGAUGUGACCCUGGACUCUGAUGCUUAGAAAGCUAGCACCAGCUACUGAAUCUGCUAAUUAACUCUAGCAGCUUCCAGGUUCUCUUGGGACAUCGUAUCAUCUGUCCCUCUUAAAAAAUUAAAAACUGAACCACAUCAGUAGAACUCAAAAGAGAUAAGAUCUACCUUUAAUAAUACUCCAUUAAACUAUAUACUCCUCCUGCUCUUUGUUCUAAUAUAUAUGACAGUAUGCCACUAAAUUCAUGAGUCCUAUGUUUUGCUCAGUUUCUAUUAUGAACUAUAACUUUUGCUUGAUGAUCAAUUUAUUAUUUGUACUCCCUAUAUAUUAUUGUAUUGUCUAAUUUUUGUAUUUAUUAACACUCAUACUGUGACUAACAGAAAUCUAUCCCAAAAUAUCUUAAGAAUAAAAGAGUUCUUUGACUUCCAUGUAAAAA
rnacentral:lncRNA from 1 species